AACUAGCUUGGACUAAUCGUGGGAAAGGGCAGAACAAAAGAAAAUAGUGAACUAUAAGACCUUUGAAUUAGCUUCAGGCACAUCUGUGUAGUUUGAUUAUUUGCACAAAUAUUUGUAAGUGCAGUAAUUGACAUAUAACAUUUUGUUGGGUCCAUUGGGGAAUACAGAGGUGAGAAAGAUUAAGGAUACACUCAGGGAACUCACCUUUAAUUAGAAAAAGAUAAAAUAUAUGUAUGCACAAAUAAUUUGCUUGAACUUAGCUGACCAAUUUGCCAAAUAGAAUACUUAAAACUAACACAUGAAAACUGAUUAGAAAGAAUUUAGGGGAAGGUUCAUUUGACAAUUUGUAACUAUCGAGUGCCUUCUAUGUGGAGAGCACUUUACUAUGAAGUACUUUAAAAUAAUGUUCUCUUAAUUAGCUUCAGUAUUCCUCUUUUAUUCUUCUGUGGAUUACCUAAACUUUCCUUCCCAGAACUCUUACUGAUGACAUUCAGCCUAAACACUCUUAAAAUUUAGAUUCUAAUUUUUUCAGAUUUCAAAAUAUAAAAAUUUAUACUAAAGAAGUUUAAUUGUAUCACUUAAAUAAACCUACCAAAUUUAUUAAAUGGAGGAUAUAUCUUAAAUUGGUUGGUAUAAAGAUUAUUGUUUUCAGUUUGAAAAACAAUUUUUUUUCCUGUUUAAUAGUGUGUGCAUUCAGUCAACUAUUAGUUGUCUGUUACUGCAAAACAAAUUGCCCCAAAACUUAGUAGCUUACUGCACAACAACCAUCUCCAUUUAUAUGGACAGGGUUUCACAGAAUACAGAGCAGGAUGGCUCACCACUGCUUCACUAUGUCCGUGGCCUAAGCUGGAGGAUGGAGAGGCCCGGUGCCGCAGACUGACGAUCCCUCUCCUGGCUGCAUGUCGAUGCUGGUGUCAGCUAGGGAUCCAGUAGAGGCUAUUGACUGGAAUACCCACAUGUGGCCUCUGUGUGGCCUGGCUUCCUCCCAAUGAUGGUUGGGUUCUAAGAGCCAGCACCAUGAGAAAGCUUGCAUUCCGGGCAGAAGCAGUAUCCUUCUAUUUCUGUUUUAAGUAUGUUUUUAUUGAUUUUAGAGAAAAGGAGAGGGAGAGAGGGAAAGAACCAUUGAUGUGAGAGAGAUACAUUGAUCAGUUGCGUCCCGUUGAACCCCCAACCUGGGAAUGUCCUGACCAGGAAUUGAACCAGUGACCUUUCAGUCCAUGGGAUGAAGCCCAACCAACUGAGCAACACUGUCCAGGGCAGACGUGCUGUCCUUUUAAUGACCUCGUCAUGGAAGCUACGCAGUCUCACUUCUGACUUGCUUUUUGCUAGUAAGCCUGGCCCAGCAUUUGGAGAGCUGGGUAUCAAAGAAUUUGCAUACAUGUUUUAAAGCCACCAAAAUAACCAUUAUUUUUUUAAGGGCUAGAUUUUACUGUUACAAGGUGUUUUUGAAAGAUUCUUGUGUCUCUAUUAUGAUGGUUUAUUUGUUUUAUUCUCUAAAUCCCCACGGUUUUCUUGACAGUUGAUUUAACGGUUGGCUCUCUUUCAAUGCUGUGUAAUUUUAGUUUACAUUUCGCUGUCAUAUUGCCAUCAAGAAAGGCAUCUUCCUUUGGUGUAAUACUUUAUAUAAUUGUCAGUUAUGUGCUAAUUGUUAAUAUUCUAUGUGGUUUUCUCAGAUAAAACCAACCUAUAAUCACAUAAGUAACUCAGAACUGCUUGUUUAGUUUUUUAAGUGAGCCAUUCUAAGAAUUUCCAAAACCUCUGCCUAACUUUCACUGUGAAAAUAUUACCUAAUUUUUGUCUUAAAGAGCAGUUUUCCUUUUUCUUUAUAACUAAUUUAGGAUCUUGUGGUAAUUCAUGUGGGUUCUAUCAUGGUCACUGAGCACUUAUUAGAACUAUGGCAUUUCACUUGAAAUAUUGUUUUCUAAGGGAAACAUAUUCAUUAUAUGUUUUCCCAUAUUUUCCUUUUCUUCAUUUUUACAUACUACGACUCUUCUAAUGGCUUUUCCUUCCCUUAAACUACCUGAAAUAUUGUGGUUAACCACAUUUUGUAAAAGGUGAGAGAUUUAUACAUUCUGAAGGAUAAGGUAUUUUAGAUCAAAAUUUGUUUAGAUGGCUUUCUUAUUGAUAGGACAACAUAACUCAGUGAACUAAAAACAUAGUAAUGUGUUUUAUGGACAUUUAAAAUAGUAUAUGAAACCUAUUCUAAGUAUAAAACAUUCAAGACAUUCAGACAUUACCUAUCAACUUUGUUUCCUAUUACAGAAAUAUUUAAGAAUAGAAAUAAUGUCCUGGUUAAGCAACAAAAGGAUUCCUUUAAUGUGUCAACACUUCACAUGAUAUCAAGUUAUUUUUAUCAGAUCUUUUUCUGUUUAUAAGUUCCUAGAAACUGAAAAAUUAGAAAACCAGCUGGAAGGUGGAAGGCGUGGUCACUUGCAGACAAGUAACUGUGGGCUGUAACAGAACAGAAACAGGGAGUUAAAAGGUGACCUAAACUUACCAGAAGCAGCCCAGGAGACAGUGGACAGGAAAAAUCUUCACAGUGCGUGCCAUAACUUCUGCAAAAACUGUUAGCAAUAAAUCUCCUAAUCAAUGUCUUUUUCUCUUUUUUUUUUUUUGACUGCCAUUUGUUCAUUGUGUUAUGUGGAUGUACUCUUUGUCAUUUGAUUUUUAGACAACUAUUAUAAAAUUAAGUGGGGUCA